CAAACUCUGGAAUAUAUUGGGAUAUUGUCAACUGUCUGAAAUUAAAUAUGGAAGUACACUUUAUAUGAUUUCAAUUCAUUUUUGUUGCUGUCACACUCUUUCUGAUGUUUGUACCUCUUGUGAUGAUCUUCUCAAUCCAUCUCAUUUGGAUUGUUGGCCCUCUCGGACUUCCCAUUUUGGUGACUAUGAUGAAGAAGGGCAACUGAGGCCUCAGAGGAGCAUCCUCCAAGCUGCCUUUUGAUCCUUAGACUUCUUUCUUCUGAGUCUUUAUUUCUUCUUCUCUACGAAAGGUUGCAGCUCUUGGAUUUUCUUGUUUUGGAGGCUAUGACGAAGAAUUUGCAGCUGAAUCCUUAUAGGAGCACUGUGCCUAUAAGAAUUUUCUGAUUAUUUCAGACUUCCCUCUUGGGAAAGGAUGUAAGUAUAGAGAACAGGCAUCAAGGAUUUACCAUGUCUUUGAAUCGACUUUCAAAAGUGUGGAAGGCAUAUCUGAGUACAAUCCACACCCGGCUCAUGUAGAAUUUACAGAGGAUUUCAUGCCUGCAGUUUCGAAGGUCCUCGUUGCUGACUACAAGCCGAGUAUAGUCCAUCAAUGAUGGUAGAGUAUGGGUUCCCCUUCUUUGCGCCGAAGUCCUUUUGAAGGCUGUCUACCUGGGGUUUGUCCAGUGCUUGUACUCAGAAUUUGUUUGUUUUGAUUCUUUACGGUCUUUGAUCUGCAAAACAUUGCAAGCUCCUCUGGUUCUGCUUCAGUAAUUUGCUGAUAAACGAACUAUUACCAUACAAUAAAACAUACGCGACAUGGUUGAAGCAUC